rnacentral:rRNA from 1 species
AUUGAACGCUGGCGGCAGGCUUAACACAUGCAAGUCGAGCGGGGGAAGGUAGCUUGCUACCGGACCUAGCGGCGGACGGGUGAGUAAUGCUUAGGAAUCUGCCUAUUAGUGGGGGACAACAUCUCGAAAGGGAUGCUAAUACCGCAUACGUCCUACGGGAGAAAGCAGGGGAUCUUUGGACCUUGCGCUAAUAGAUGAGCCUAAGUCGGAUUAGCUAGUUGGUGGGGUAAAGGCCUACCAAGGCGACGAUCUGUAGCGGGUCUGAGAGGAUGAUCGACCACACUGGGACUGAGACACGGCCCAGACUCCUACGGGAGGCAGCAGUGGGGAAUAUUGGACAAUGGGGGGAACCCUGAUCCAGCAAUGCCGCGUGUGUGAAGAAGGCCUUAUGGUUGUAAAGCACUUUAAGCGAGGAGGAGGCUACUUUAGUUAAUACCUAGAGAUAGUGGACGUUACUCGCAGAAUAAGCACCGGCUAACUCUGUGCCAGCAGCCGCGGUAA